ACGAAGUGUCUCUUUCUCUCCGUGAACAUAUUGAUGAUGGGGAAGAAGAAGAUGAUUAGGAUUUUCUUUCUUCGAUCGAGACCUGUUGAGAUUAAUUCCCAUAAUAAUAUAAUCUAUCAUCAGAACUACAAUAACAAUGAGAGAGAAACAGAAAUGAUGUAAUAAUAGAAUGUGUCUAACGGAUCACAGGUAAAUGUUUAUAUUCCAUUGGAAAGAAGAAGAGAAAAAGAAAAAAGUUUUUCAAGAUUCUAAUUUCCAUCAUCAUCAUCAUCAUCAUCAUCUUCUCUUCUUCUUCUUCUACUACUCUCUCACUCAUUCUCUCUCUCUCUCUCUCUUCCUCCCCUUCUCCCUCUCUUUCUCUUCAUCUUUGGCCUUUUCUAAUAUUUAAGAUGAUCAAGUAACAUAAGGUGAUUGAGGAGGAUUCGUUUUCUAUUCAUGUAAAUGGUACGAGAACCAAUCGCUUAUUAGAUCAACAUAAUCAUUUCCUCCAACAAUUAGCCAUUCAAAUUGUAAUUGUCCAUUUAAAUUGAUGUUGUUUUUAUCUCAAUUAUCAACAAUUAACUUUCUUCAUUUUCUCUCUCAUUCUACUUCACUCUCACUUUCUCGCUCUCACUCUCAAUCAGUCUCCCUCUCUCUCUCUCUCACUUUCUCGUCAAAAUGUCAAAUCCGUCACUUCAACUAAUCAUAAUGAUUUACUUUUAAUUUUAAAACUCAAUAUUUUUGCAAUAAUUUAAUAAAUUUAAAUUCAAACUUUUA